AAAGCAGGGAUUGUGUGUAUCGACGUUGUGCUAAUUUGUCAUUGCACUUUGCUCGAAAGAGUUCUCUGCGAUAUCAAUUUUUUUGGGAAGAUGGGCAGUUGUAUUUCAUUGUCUUGCUGAAAACCUUCAACAAUCAUCUUCCUGACAUUA